GUCUGAGUCGAGUCGUGUCGUAUC
rnacentral:miRNA from 1 species